CCAAAAUGUGUGUCCAUGACACUAAAGCUGUCCUUUGUGAAUCCUCUUUUGUUAGAGGAAUUACUUUCAACCAUUUAGAGAAUACAUCCACCACUACCAACACAUACUUUAAUCUAUUCUUACCUGUUGGUAAUGGCCCAAUGAAGUCAAUUUGUAAGGUAGACAAAGGACCAUUUGCAGGUGCUAUACGUUGUAUAGGUGUUUUUUGUCCUUUAGGUCUGGGAUUUAUUUGUGCACAUAUCAAACAUGAUUUUACUACCUGUUGUACAGUCUUUUCCAAUAAAACUUAUUUCUGAGUACCUCUAACAGUUUCUGCUGUCCAAUAUGACCUAAACUUUCAUGAUUAUAUUGUGCAAAUGACACUUUUAG